UACAGAGGGUGCAAGCGUUUGUUCGGAAUUACUGGGCGUAAAGGGCUCGUAGGUGGCCAACUAAGUCAGACGUGAAAUCCCUCAGCUUAACUGGGGAACUGCGUCUGAUACUGGAUGGCUUGAGUUUGGGAGAGGGAUGCGGAAUUCCAGGUGUAGCGGUGAAAUGCGUAGAUAUCUGGAGGAACACCGGUGGCGAAGGCGGCAUCCUGGACCGACAUUGACGCUGAGGCGCGAAAGCCAGGGGAGCAAACGGG
rnacentral:rRNA from 1 species